GGAUGGAUGGCCGAGUGGUCUAUGGCGCUAGUUUCAGGUCGAGGACGAAUACAAGACCAUACUAGUCUCUUCGGGGGCGUGGGUUCGAAUCCCACUCCAUUCA